UCAGGAACCACUGCCCCAAAACAGACAAUGGCAGCCAGGCCCUGCUCACCAUUUCCUUUGGUUUCGGUAAAAACUUGAACUAAAUUUGACAGAGUGAUCUAAAAGUGAUAGAGGAAUAAAAACGGAUUCACGACCAAACCUCAGGAUCCAUUCUCAGUUUUACCCCUUCUGCACAACACGGUGCUAAGGGUCCCAUGGGAGGCUGUGGAUGUCGGGUUCGACCACAUCACGAUCGUCUAACUGUGAUCUAAGAAUUUCCUGGCCCGACACACGUGUUACACGGUGCAUCCAAGAGGGAGGAGGGGAGCGGAACUGACCGAGGAAGCAGAGGUAUCCAGAAGAUCCCGUCCUGUAGGCUCAAGGCAAAAGAACUGGGAGAGUAGCUACCCCAGUGCUUAGUAAAGUGCCUGGCACAUGAUUCCAUACAGACUGGGCUCAGGGUGAGCAACAAAGAGUUUCAGGUCUGGCUUGGGUCCAGAGGGUGCAACUUUACCCUGAGAGAGAGAACCUUUGGGCACUUCAACAGAGCAGCUUAUUUGAUGUCCUUCACCCACUCUCUUUCCGCCACCACUGUCACGUGGAGUUACAUUUCUAAGAGAGUAUUUCUAAGGAGCAAACGAAGAUCAGCUCAAUUAUUUUGACCAUUCUGGUUGUCUUGAUCCACCGUCUCAGUUCAGUACAGCUAAAUCCCUCCAAAGUUACAUUCCCGGAAGAUUGGGCCUGAAGGGCUUCCAUUGACAUAAAUAUCCUGAUAUCCUGACUCUCAAUCACCAUCAGCCAGAAGGAAGACAGCGACACUAUUCCCCAAGGGGUUUUCUGGCUAACAAUUUGGAUCAUUUAGCAAAUAGAAAGGAGGGGCAGCGUGGAGGAUGGCUCCAGUGGCUCAUCACUUCUGCCUAAUCAAGGUCCAGGUGAGCCUAUCUCUCUCAGUGAACCUUUUACUCAUGGAUGCAGUCUCAGUGUCGGCAGCAUCGUCUUCAAACCAAAGGACAACUAAAAUCGGCAGUGGCCCUUCAUUCCUGCAGUUGGAAGAUAUGGCAGGAGGAGAAUGAUUACAGAAGGAAAGAGGAAAAUGUAUGUACCAUAACCAUAGAGUGAUCUUGUAAAGUAUGUAAAAGGACCUGGGACCAUUAUCACUGAAUUUUACUCUUCCAAUUUACUCUAAGCUAUCAAA